rnacentral:rRNA from 1 species
AUUGAACGCUGGCGGAAUGCUUUACACAUGCAAGUCGAACGGCAGCACGGACUUCGGUCUGGUGGCGAGUGGCGAACGGGUGAGUAAUGUAUCGGAACGUGCCCAGUCGUGGGGGAUAACGUAGUGAAAAUUACGCUAAUACCGCAUACGAUCUAUGGAUGAAAGCGGGGGAUCGCAAGACCUCGCGCGAUUGGAGCGGCCGAUAUCAGAUUAGGUAGUUGGUGGGGUAAAGGCCCACCAAGCCAACGAUUUGCAGCUGGUCUGAGAGGACGACCAGCCACACUGGAACUGAGACACGGUCCAGACUCCUACGGGAGGCAGCUGGGGAAUUUUGGACAAUGGGCGAAAGCCUGAUCCAGCCAUUCCGCGUGCAGGAUGAAGGCCCUCGGGUUGUAAACUGCUUUUGUACAGAACGAAAAGGUUUCUACUAAUACUAGGAGCUCAUGACGGUACUGUAAGAAUAAGCACCGGCUAACUACGUGCCAGCCGCCGCAGUAA